CCAACCUCUGUCACUGAGGUUAAAGGGGCCAAUACAGAGGAUUAAGAACUAGGUAUGUAAACUUUUGAUUAGGGUCAUUUGAAUAGUUUCUGUUAUUAGUAUGAUUUAAAAAGAGCAAACACAUUUGUCUGAUAAUAAAUGGCUUCACCUAACCAUGAGCCACGAGUGAAAGAAAAGUCUUUGUAUUCUCAUUCAUAUUCUCUGGAAAAUGGCCAAAGAAUCACGAAUUCUGCUAGAAUAUGUAAACUUAU